AUGUUCAAUUUACUUUCAAUGUAUUCAAAUUCUCAAUUGUAAGCUUUCUACAAAAUUGCAAUCAAAUUUUCUUUCGUCCCGACGCGANGCGUAAGUCUCCAUUAUCCACAGUCUCGUUUUCCUUGAAUGGGCAUUCAUAUGCAGAACGUUUCUGAGUGUGGCAUGCUUGGGGAAAUCCUUUUUUCCUCGUUCGUAAUUGCUUUGGCUAAAUUGUGGAGCUUGUAUCUAAGGUGGUGUUAUUAAAACUAAAUACAAUUUCAUUGUUUUUGUGAGCAUUACAGUGAAACAAUUCCUAGGCUUGUGAUUAUAUGAAAUUCACAGUUACUUUCUCGAUGUAGUUGCUGAAAGAAGUUAUUUUAUUUUUUUCACAGAAAAGAAGGUUGACAAGCUGCCAAAGAAAAGCAUUUGUUCAUGUUCCAUAUUGUGAGUAUGCAAGUUUGAUUCAUCUUUUUAUCUUGUGGGUAAGGGAAUAUUUCAAUAUCUGUACAACGGCAUUCGGUGUAAUGGUGGCUUGUUAUUAUGUAUAUGCAUUUUAUGAAUUUGUUGCUUCGUGUACGAUUAUAGCUACAUCAUUUCUAUACAAGAAUACAGGGUCAAUGGACUCGAUUCCCUCAAAAAGGAUGGGUUAUGUAUACAGUAGCAUGGAUUUAUGGUCGUGUCAAUGUUGACAGGCAUGCUAUAUUCUUUUAGUCGUAUUUUAACCUAAUCCUGUUUGUGUUGUUAUUUUGGGUCUUUGGGAUGUUCAGAUUUCUACUUUUUUAUAACAUUGAAGAGAUUUGUUGCAUAAUCGUGAUACAUAAAGCUACUAAAUUUGUUAAAAAUUUUAUGGAUUCAUUUCCUCUUAUGGAUUAGUUAAAAGUAAUAAAUUCUCAACACGAUUUUGUCUCAACUGCAGAAAAUGGGAAGAUUCUCGUGCAUGUCCAAAUCUUGUCAUUCAAUGCCUCGACCCAUGUCUGCAAUCUACAUAAAUCCAGUCAGUUGUAAAUAUGGAACAUAUCCAAACUCCCAGUUAUCUUUAUUUUUCUAGAAACAUUCUACACAUCUCCACCCGCCUAUCAAAUGCGAACGGCUGGCCCCCUUAAUGUACGUGUAGCUCCCCUCAUUUUCAGGUAGAGGUGGGCGUUUUAUCCGGGAACCGGUGGAACAGGAUCGAACCGAACCAAAUAGAAUCAGUUGGUUCUGUUUCCGUUCUUCAAUUAAAUGGGUUGAUUUUGGGACAAUGCAUCGAGAACCAAUAAGUUCUAGCUUGGUUUCGAUUCUCUCAAUUUUCUCUUCUUGCUUGCACUAAGAUACACUGGGAACUUGUUUGAUAGAAGAAUCGAAAUCGAACUGAUUGAUUUUAUUGGGUCGAUUUUGGAACAAAGCAUCGAGAAUCGAUCGGUUCUAAUUCGGUCAUUGGUAUUGCUUUGAGAAUCAAUAGGGAAUUCAGUUCUCCCAAUUUUCACUUUUUACUGGCACUAAGAUACCAUUUUUAAAUAUUAGACUUCAAAAUUAUCUCACAUUAAUAUUUCGUUUUCCAUAUUUUUUACUUUCUUAAAUGGGCAAUCAAAAUUCAAG
rnacentral:lncRNA from 1 species